rnacentral:rRNA from 1 species
UACGUAGGGUGCAAGCGUUAAUCGGAAUUACUGGGCGUAAAGCGUGCGCAGGCGGUUGUGCAAGACAGAUGUGAAAUCCCCCGGGCUUAACCUGGGAAUUGCAUUUGUGACUGCACGGCUAGAGUGUGUCGAGAGGGGGGUAGAAUUCCACGUGUAGCAGUGAAAUGCGUAGAUAUGUGGAGGAAUACCGAUGGCGAAGGCAGCCCCCUGGGAUAACACUGACGCUCAUGCACGAAAGCGUGGGGAGCAAACAGG